rnacentral:rRNA from 1 species
AUGAAAGGAAGCUCUAAGGUACUGUUGAGUGUAGAGAUGAAAUUCUUUGAUACCAGAUGAUUGGCACAGAUUUAGGCGAAGGCAUCUUCUUAUGUAAUAACUGACGUUGUAGGACGAAGGCUUAGGAAGUGAACAGGAUUAGGUACCCCAGUAAUCUAGGCAGAAAAUGAUGAAUGUCAUAGGUUGAAUACAGACUGGUUAAAUAUACUAUCUAAUAGUAAAUAGGUGGUAUAUUAAUCAGUAUAUUAUUGUGUCUAUAAAUGAAAGUGUAAGCAUUCCACCUCAAGAGUAAUUUGGCAACAUUGGAACUGAAAUCAUUAGACCGUUUCUGAAACCAGUAGUGAAGUAUGUUGUUUAAUUAGAUGAUACACAAAAACCUUACCACAACUUGAAUAUAUAUAAAUUAUAUUUACAAGCGCUGCACGGCUGUCUACAGUUAAUGUCGUGAGACUUUGGUUAGCUCCAGUAAAUUGACGUAAACCCUAAUUUUAUUUAUAAAUAUAAUUAACAUUGCUAUAAUUGAUGUUUUAAUAGGGAACA